rnacentral:rRNA from 1 species
AUUGAACGCUGGCGGAAUGCUUUACACAUGCAAGUCGAACGGUAGAGGGGGCAACCCCUCGAGAGUGGCGAACGGGUGAGUAAUAUAUCGGAACGUGCCCAGUCGUGGGGGAUAACGUAGCGAAAGUUACGCUAAUACCGCAUACGUUCUAAGGAUGAAAGCGGGGGAUCGCAAGACCUCGCGCGAUUGGAGCGGCCGAUAUCAGAUUAGGUAGUUGGUGGGGUAAAGGCUCACCAAGCCAACGAUCUGUAGCUGGUCUGAGAGGACGACCAGCCACACUGGAACUGAGACACGGUCCAGACUCCUACGGGAGGCAGCAGUGGGGAAUUUUGGACAAUGGACGCAAGUCUGAUCCAGCCAUUCCGCGUGCAGGAUGAAGGCCCUCGGGUUGUAAACUGCUUUUGUACGGAACGAAAAGGUCUCUCUUAAUACGGGGGGCUCAUGACGGUACCGUAAGAAUAAGCACCGGCUAACUACGUGCCAGCAGCCGCCGUAACAC